rnacentral:tRNA from 1 species
AAUAGCUCAGUUGGUUAGAGCACCUGACUGUUAAUCAGGGGGUCACAGGUUCAAGUCCUGUUU